AUCCAUAGCACAAUAAAGUACAUACAAGAACAGUAUUGUGAAUAUUUCACUGUGAAAGCAUUCAAAUAUCUUACAAUACCCAAAACUAAUUAUUCACUCAGAAGUUUCCACGCACAAACUCUGCAGUUAGGAAAGAUUAAUCAGUAGUGGACAAAGUUAAGGAAGAAAGCAAGUCCAACCCAGUCAAUCUAUUAAACAUGCAAAAAGAAUCUGCCAUUACCUUGAUUCGGGACUAAAUCUAGUCUCGGUGACUCAACGGUAUCAUCCCAACAGAGUCCUUAGUUUGUUUUUCAUGAUCAGUCAUCUCGAUGGCUAAAUACUCCUUUAAUUUUGCCACCACAUAAGUCACAGUUGGCCUUCUAAUAGAAUUUCAAGAAACACACGUCGUUGCCAAUUCUACAACUUUCUACACAGAUGUCACAACAAAUUCUCCUCACAUCCCCUCCAAGCAGAACUGCUCGUCUCUAUUGAAUUAAGUGUGCCUUUUUGUUAUUUUUUGCUACCGCUGGGUGACCAGUGACGAUCUCCAAGAGAGCAAUACCAAAACUAUAAACAUCACUUUUUUCUGACAACUGACUGGUUAAGUAAUACCUGCAAACAAGAAGAAACUUAUAGCGACAUUUGUACCUAAGAAGCCAAUUGCGUUAGAAUUAAAACAAGAAUUAAAAAGGAUGUAAUAUAUAUGAUUAGAUUGGGUUGGAUCAAAUGAAGAAGUGAUGAACCUCCAACGUUAAAGAAUAAGAUGUUCAUAAAAUCAACUUAGUCAAAACAAGGAUGUUAAGAUACCAAAAUGGAUAAGAUAAUAGAUCAGAUAUACAAAUAGAGGUGGUUGGGCUAAAAGGUUCCCAGGACAAAUUACUGGUACAUAUAUUUAUCUAGUACAUAUAUUGUAGCACAGUGCAAUUUAGAUAAGGACCUCCAAAAGAAAUUAUCUGUGUCCUUGACUUGAUGAAGGGGAGAGCAUCUUUACAGCAACUUGAGUGUCACCUACAAAGCCAUGAUAUACUGUACAAAAUCCACCUUUGUCCAUAACUUUCUGGCAGUUAUUUGUGAUUUUCAUGACCUCUGAGUAUGUAAACUUUGCCAAUAAGUUAUUGGUCAAUAAUACAGGAGGAGCUCAGAGAAGAACAGUAAAUUGUUCGUAUUUAUGGACUCGAAAUCCAAAAUAGAAAAUAAAUUGACGUACCAUCAUUAUCUUCUGUCUCUGAGUUCGAAAAAUCUUUCCAAGGCAUACACUUCUGCAGCACUAAUGAUUGGUGGGAGAGUUGAAUUUGCAGUUUUUAUUUAGUGUGACUACAUACUUGGAACGACCAGUCACACUAAAACAAGUAGGUGGUGUAUAUUGUAUAUGAAGAUAGAUAAUAUGGAGAGUUUCUCAUGCUAGAUAAUUCCGUUCACAGAGAUGCUGAAUUCUCUGUUUUUGUUUGCUUGUAGUUCUUGUAAUUCAGCAAAGUAAAAAUACAUGUAAAGUAUAACAUUGAGAUUAUUAGACUCCCAGUAGAAGGAAACAGAGUAGUUAGCAUUUUUAGACGGCAGUUGUCAAGACAGCAGAAGGUGGCUUAAAAUAGUCUGCACUGUUAUAUAUGGGAUAUAUUGUAAAUACAAUACUGUUGAUCAAGGUCCAGGGCCUCCAUAUACGAUCAUAAACAUCAUCUUUGUACCUAAGCAAGGUUGAUCAUGUCUUAGUGCUGAUGGCAGUAAACAAAUGAAUACAAAAAAAAUACUGAACUAAAUAUUUGAACAAGAGGAAUUCAAGCAUAACACAAGCAGCAUGACUCAACUGAUUAAUUUGUCGGAAGAUGGGGCAAAAUUCACCCGGUCAAUGAGUUGUAGAGAUUUAUUCACUGUUGGGUAUAUGAUAAUAGUCAAUGGCCUCAAUUCUAAAGCUGAUAUAAAGGGGGUCGUUAAUCCCGAUUUUACAAUACAAACGUUAAUAUAAUCUGAUGCAGGGAUGUGUAUAAUAUCCUUCCUUAGUAGAGUGGAUUCAUUUUUCAACGUAACUGUGUCCCAUAAAUCAACUCCUAGAUACAGAUCAAAUGUUGGCAAUUCACCCCUGGAAUCGUAAUUUCCAUACAUAAAACUUAUUCUUAUCAAAUAAUUGUUACCCUUGCCUUGAGCAGGUCUUAGCGUAUAGCAGUUUCGGGUUCCUUGAGGAAAGCUUCUAAGAUAUUAGAACUGCCUUUCAAGGGAAUUGUUCUGAAAUGUAACUGAUAUGCUCUUGUUUGCACCACUGUCUACAAAGCCUGCAUCUGAACUAUAUAUUAUGCCAGUUA
rnacentral:lncRNA from 1 species